rnacentral:rRNA from 1 species
CGUAUAUUAAGUUGUUGCAGUUAAAAGCUCGUAGUUGAACUUCGGGCCUGGCUGACCGGUCCGCCUCACCGCGUGCACUGGUCCGGCCGGGUCUUUCCUUCUGGCAAACCUCAUGCCCUUCACUGGGUGUGUUGGGGAACCAGGACUUUUACUUUGAAAAAAUUAGAGUGUUCAAAGCAGGCAUAUGCUCGAAUACAUUAGCAUGGAAUAAUAGAAUAGGACGUGCGGUUCUAUUUUGUUGGUUUCUAGGACCGCCGUAAUGAUUAAUAGGGAUAGUCGGGGGCAUCCGUAUUCAAUUGUCAGAGGUGAAAUUCUUGGAUUUAUUGAAGACAAACUACUGCGAAAGCAUUUGCCAAGGAUGUUUUCAUUAAUCAGGAACGAAAGUUGAGGGAUCGAAGACGAUCAGAUACCGUCGUAGUCUCAACCAUAAACUAUGCCGACUAGGGAUCGGGCGAUGUUUUUUUUAUGACUCGCUCGGAACCUUACAAGAAAUCAAAGUCUUUGGGUUCUGGGGGGAGUAUGGUCGCAAGGCUGAAACUUAAAGGAAUUGACGGAAGGGCACCACCAGGAGUGGAGCCUGCGGCUUAAUUUGACUCAACACGGGGAAACUCACCAGGUCCAGACACAUUAAGGAUUGACAGAUUGAGAGCUCUUUCUUGAUCAUGUGGGUGGUGGUGCAUGGCCGUUCUUAGUUGGUGGAGUGAUUUGUCUGCUUAAUUG